GCCAGGAGGAGACCCAGGGAGAUCCAGGGAUGGGAACAGUGAGCCAAAGAGAGGGUAACAGAGUGGGGCAAAGAUUCAGAGAGGGUUAAUGAGGUACAGGGCAGAUUGAGACCAUAGAGGGAGGGUGACAAGGGACCUGAAGGAAGAGGGGACAACAAUGCAGAUGUGAGGAAAUGAUGGCUAGGGCAGAGUCCCUGUUUGGGUUGUGAGUUUUGGAAUCAGAGACAAGUAAGCAACAGGAAUUUUUUAGAGUUAAACUCUGAUCAAAUGGCAGACCAGUCUCUCCCUGCCUCAGUUUCCACCCUCCAGGUAGCAGAUACUGGCAGAGGGGCUCGGGAUGUCGCCUCUUCACUCUUGAGAGAUCUGGGAGUUGGGCCAAUGACAUUGUGGCGGUAGGGCUGUGCCCCAAACUCAAACAGCUCCCACAGGGUCACCCCCAAGGACCUGUGGGUAGGAAGAGCGGCAGAGAGAAGUCAGAGCCCAGCCUUUACCCACAAUGGGGCCUCUCCUUCUGGGCCUCAGUUUCCUCAUCUGCAGAACCAGUGGCAUCUAGUGACCCUUCUCCUACCUUGCCCUCCUCCGCCCCCCUGCGGCCCGGGGGUCCUCACCAGAUGUUGCUCUCGCGGCUCUGGUCCACCACCAUGAAGGUCCCGUGCAGCUCCCCGAGGAGCUCGGGCGCCGCCCAGCGCAGCGGGAUCCACAGCCGCUCCGGAGUCAGGCCUCAGUCUCAAAAUCAUCUACCCAGAGGGCUUCCCUGUCCCCUAGUACUGGGCCGGAUGCUGCUCUUCUGCCCUCCCACUGUGGGGAAGAGUCUCCUGAUGCCCACUUUCCUAGGUGGUGAGCUGUACUGGGAUGAAGAUUUGGGAUGUUGCUCUUCCAGGUGUGUCCCCAGUGCCUAUACUAGUAGAUGCUCAAUAAAAACAUGUGGAAUGAAGGACUUUUACUCUACUACUUGGCCUGGGGGUCUGUGGGAG